AUUGAACGCUGGCGGAAUGCUUUACACAUGCAAGUCGAACGGCAGCACGGACUUCGGUCUGGUGGCGAGUGGCGAACGGGUGAGUAAUAUAUCGGAACGUGCCCAGUCGUGGGGGAUAACGUAGCGAAAGCUACGCUAAUACCGCAUACGAUCUACGGAUGAAAGCGGGGGAUCGCAAGACCUCGCGCGAUUGGAGCGGCCGAUAUCAGAUUAGGUAGUUGGUGAGGUAAAGGCUCACCAAGCCGACGAUCUGUAGCUGGUCUGAGAGGACGACCAGCCACACUGGGACUGAGACACGGCCCAGACUCCUACGGGAGGCAGCAGUGGGGAAUUUUGGACAAUGGGGGGAACCCUGAUCCAGCCAUGCCGCGUGUGUGAAGAAGGCCUUAUGGUUGUAAAGCACUUUAAGCGAGGAGGAGGCUCUUUUGGUUAAUACCCAAGAUGAGUGGACGUUACUCGCAGAAUAAGCACCGGCUAACUCUGUGCCAGCCGCCGCCGUAA
rnacentral:rRNA from 1 species